rnacentral:lncRNA from 12 species
CUCCCCCCCACCGCCAGCCUCGGGUGGCCUGGGGAUCCCGCGUUUUGCAAGGUGCCUCCGAACGCCCGCUUCCUUUGGAGCCCCCUGCACCAGACCAGACCUGAACCCCAAGCCAGGUUGGGCCCCGGGUCGCUCCAGGGCGGGGGAGGAGGAAGCCGCGACGCUGCCUGCGGGGCAGAGCGCGGAAUGGAAAGCUCGGGGAGGUCAGUUUCCUCCUCGGCCGGGACUUGGAACUAACAGCGAGAUUCCCGGACUAACUGAAAGGCCGGUCCGCCUCCACCCCGCCCUCUGCUCACUACUGGACACCACAGUGGAACCUGGGACGCGUUCUCCUCCCCACAUCGGGGUGGAGGUGUGACUCUGGAGCUCGAUCCCGAUUCCCCGAGAAGUCACGGAGCACGUAAAAGGAAUCAGUUCCUUGCGUGGUUCCCCAAGCACGCCAAAGAUGUUUUUCUAGAAAGAAAGGGAAUCGAUGAAUGGCCACAUGACCGGGAUGGCUUCCCACCCUCCCCCUUCCCCAAGGAAAAGAAAGGAACAGCCUUGCAAAGGGAAGGAAGGAGGGUGCGCCUGGUGGUGUAGCAUCAACUUCCACGACCAAGUAACCUCAGUGCUGUUGGGUAACACACAAGCCAUGUCAGAAAAUGAUCCACUCUUAGGUCAAAAGGUAGUGAUGGAAAACCUCUGAUUUAUCCGGUCUAAAACUCCUACAUAAAACAUUGGGGAGGAGGAAGUUAUUGUACGCCAUCAGUCCUACCAGAUUUCACAAUGAGAAAAAACAGGCUCACUCCAGGAAAGGGUUAGAGUUUAUCCAGUAUCUAUUACUAGGUAUACAGAUCAUUAUUAAUCUGCAGCCCCUAAAGUAUGCCUCUGAUUAAUGAGAACAAGAGAUUUCCGGGAUGAUUUGAAGAAAAAGAUCAAUAAUGAUCAAUUUAAGGGUCUUCAUGGAUUUUACUGCCCUGGUGGAAAGACAUUGGAUUUGGGGUUAGGCCAGGGGGUGUCGGCCCAACAUGCCCCACAAAGGGAGCCUUUUCUAGUCUGUUCACCUGGCCUCAGGAGCCUUGUCUAUAAGUUGAAGAAUUAGACCAAAUAUCUCUAAAUACUCACUAGUUCAAACAUCUGUGAUUGUACAGAAAAAAUAAUAUAGUUAAAAUCUUCAAAAGGGGUACGCCUGGGUGGCUUAGCGGUUGAGCAUCUCCCUUUGGCUCAGGGCAUGAUCCCGGAGUGCCGGGAUGAGUCCCACAUCAGCCUCCCUGCUUGGAGCCUGCUUCUCCCUCUGCCUAUGUCUCUGUCUCUGUGUCUCUCAUGAGUAAAUAAAAUCUUUUUUUUUUUUUUAAAGAAACA